CUUUAUUUUAUAGAAAAAAAUUAAUUUCUGAAUUAAAAAGUUUAGAUAUUAUUAUAGGACGAGAAGACCCUAUAGAACUUUAUUUUUMUGAUAAUAAUUAUUUAUUUGAUAAUAAUUUUUGUAUAUUUUUAUAUAAAUUUUGUUGGGGUGACAAAAAAAUAUUUUUAACUUCUUUUUACUUUUAUCAUUUAUAUAUGAGUUUUUGAUCCUWUAUUAUGGAUAAUAAGAUUAAGUUAUCCUUAGGGAUAACAGCGUUAUYAUUUUGGAGAGHUCAUAUCGAUAAAAKAGAUKGCGACCUCGAUGUUGGAUUAAAAUUAGCUUUAGGAGUAGAAAAU
rnacentral:rRNA from 1 species